UAAGCCAUGGUCAAGAGUUAUUCCAUCAUCAGUAACAACAUCAGAAACAAGGACAGCUUCAGGGACCGACACAACAAUAUGAUCUCCAUCAAUAUGAGCAGUGCCGGCCAUUCCAGCCACUAUGGAACAAUUAGGAAUGAGGAGAAAAAGAAAAGACUGUUCAAAGUAGUCCAUGUGCUAACAAUACAUUCACUGGUGACACAACAACAGGACUCCGACUCUUCAGACUGCAGGGGCCUUGAUAAAAAACCGAGAUGGACAAAGCUGUGCUGGCAGGCAACGUGCAGAGCUGUACCCUGGUUGAUGCAACUGGCAUCCAAGCGCCCAACCCACAGAAAUAGAAAGAGAAACGUCCUGCUCGGGCACAGACGGAACAGACGGCGCCAAUUCAGAACGCAACACGGAGGACAGCGCGAACCCUCUGCACAAAAAGACCGGGUGUUACAGCGAGCGUAUCCGUUUUAAGACACAGGAGAAAGCAUCGCAUUGGGGCGUUUGUUCUCCCCUGAAACAAGGGAAGGCCAGCCUAAUUUCUAACUUAGUUGGCUGCCACUUCCAGCUCUGCAUAUACAUUUCAAAGAGGAUACAAAAGCACAGGUGGACGCAAGAAGUGUCAAACGGGCAUCAGAAAUCCCAGUGACCUGGUGCAGCACCCCUGUCCUCAUCCGCAACCAAUAAGGUACCUCAGCAAGGACCUCACCACAGGAUCAUACAGCACUGCAAUAUUAAAGCCAUGGGUGUGGGGGAUUUAAAAUACAUUGUUGCCCAUAUGACAGUCUCAAGAAUACAACUAACAUAAGAAAACCUUGCCUGCUAAUAAAUUGGAAGAAACUACAGGCACAGA